rnacentral:rRNA from 1 species
GGGAGGCAGCAGUGAGGAAUAUUGCGCAAUGGAGGAAACUCUGACGCAGCCAUGCCGCGUGCAGGAAGACGGCCCUACGGGUUGUAAACUGCUUUUAUAUAGGAAGAAACCCCGAUACGUGUAUCGGCUUGACGGUACUAUAUGAAUAAGGACCGGCUAACUCCGUGCCAGCAGCCGCGGUAAUACGGAGGGUCCAAGCGUUAUCCGGAUUUAUUAGGUUUAAAGGGUCCGCAGGCGGGAUUUUAAGUCAGUGGUGAAAGCCUACAGCUCAACUGUAGAACUGCCAAUGAUACUGAUAUCCUUGAGUGUGGUUGAAGUGGGCGGAGCAUGUCAUGUAGCGGUGAAAUGCAUAGAUAUGACAUAGAACACCAAUUGCGAAGGCAGCUCACUAAGCCAUUACUGACGCUGAGGGACGAAAGCGUGGGGAGCGAACAGGAUUAGAUACCCUGGUAGUCCACGCCGUAAACGAUGAUCACUCGUUGCUAGCGAUACACUGUUAGUGACCAAGCGAAAGUGUUAAGUGAUCCACCUGGGAAGUACGUUCGCAAGAAUGAAA